AUUGAACGCUGGCGGCAUGCCUUACACAUGCAAGUCGAACGGCAGCACGGGAGCUUGCUCCUGGUGGCGAGUGGCGAACGGGUGAGUAAUACAUCGGAACGUACCCUGAAGUGGGGGAUAACGUAGCGAAAGUUACGCUAAUACCGCAUAUUCUGUGAGCAGGAAAGAGGGGGAUCGCAAGACCUCUUGCUUUAGGAGCGGCCGAUGUCGGAUUAGCUAGUUGGUGAGGUAAAGGCUCACCAAGGCGACGAUCCGUAGCGGGUCUGAGAGGAUGAUCCGCCACACUGGGACUGAGACACGGCCCAGACUCCUACGGGAGGCAGCAGUGGGGGAAUUUUUGGACAAUGGGCGCAAGCCUGAUCCAGCCAUGCCGCGUGAGUGAAGAAGGCCUCGGUUGU
rnacentral:rRNA from 1 species